UACAGAGGUCUCAAGCGUUGUUCGGAUUCAUUGGGCGUAAAGGGUGCGUAGGCGGCGCGGUAAGUCGGGUGUGAAAUCUCGGAGCUUAACUCCGAAACUGCAUUCGAUACUGCCGUGCUUGAGGACUGGAGAGGAGACUGGAAUUUACGGUGUAGCGGUGAAAUGCGUAGAUAUCGGAAGGAACGCCGGUGGCGAAAGCGGCGUGCUGGACCUCUUCUGACGCUGAGGCGCGAAAGCCAGGGGAGCAAACGGG
rnacentral:rRNA from 1 species